GAUGAACGCUGGCGGCGUGCUUAACACAUGCAAGUCGAACGGAAUUUAAAAGUGGAAGUUUUCGGAUGGAAACUUUUAAAUUUAGUGGCGGACGGGUGAGUAACGCGUGGGUAACCUGCCGUAUACAGGGGGAUAACACUUAGAAAUAGGUGCUAAUACCGCAUAAGCGCACAGUGUCGCAUGACACAGUGUGAAAAGCAUCGACGGUAUACGAUGGACCCGCGUCUGAUUAGCUAGUCGGUGGGGUAGAGGCCUACCAAGGCGACGAUCAGUAGCCGGCCGGGGAGGGUGACUGGCCACAUUGGGACGGACACGCGGCCCAAACUCCUACGGGCGGCAGCAGUGGGGAAUAUUGCACAAUGGGGGAAACCCUGAUGCAGCGACGCCGCGUGGGUGAAGAAGUAUUUCGGUAUGUAAAGCUCUAUCAGCAGGGAAGAAAAUGACGGUACCUGACUAAGAAGCCCCGGCUAACUACGUGCCAGCCGCCGCAGUAACAC
rnacentral:rRNA from 1 species